UCAAAAAAAUUGGAGAAAAAUUUGAAAAAGACAAAGAACAAGAAAAUGUCCCCUAUGAAAAUAAUCCAAUGUCAUCUUUUGAAAAGGCCGAAGGUGAAGAUGAUUUGGAUGAAAAUAAAUCGUUGUUAGAAAUUUUUGUAAAACUGCAAGGAAGCAAAAGUCCGCGAAAAAUCAAAAUUUUAGCUCGAAGCCAAAACUGUCUGCAGACAAUGUCAGCAGAACCUCCAAAUAUAAUUGAAAAACAUGAUAUCCACAUGAAACGACCAAAAAACUUUAAACUAACAAUCAUUUUUGAAACUAGAAACGAAGACGACAUUGCGAAUGACCAAUGGACAGUUAUCAGCAGUACCUCCUCUAUCCUCUUAGAUGGAGAAUAGCACUGGUGCUGGAGUCUAUUGGGAUUAUCCUUCCUUUAAGAACUUGUAUAAAGCUAACAGCACCAUCGCACUUUCAGGCAGAUAUUAUGUCAAUCAGGAAAGCAGCUGGGGUAGUUAAUCAUCUUGACAAGACUGGUGACUUUGGUAUUUGUCUACUUAUUAAGCGGCGACGCAAUAAAAACUCUAUUAAAGCGAUGUGGAUUUCAAAAAUUAUUAUCAAGAGCUAGAAGACCUUGAUUUUUUAAAUAUUUUUAAAGAACAAAUCUAGGAAAUUGGAAAUUUUGUAUAGACAUUUAUAUUUUACGAAGGAUGAAUGGGAUCGAUAAGGGAAAGAAAGGAAACACGUGAUGUAAUAUGAAAAGGUGAUACAGCCGUGGAAAAAAUUAUCUUAGCGGAAAAACUACAGUUACAUGAAAUUUCAUCUGAAAUAAAUGUAGAUUUUAUAAAAUAAAAGAAGUUCAUUAAAUAUACAUUUUUGGAGCAAAUAUUUUGUAAAAAAAAUAAAUGUUUUUAUUUUUUA